UUGCACUGUUCGUAAUCUGUUGACAGCUGUUUUCUGUCUUUGGGUUCCAUUCCGGUGCUACAGUAAAGCAAUCUCGCUUAGAUUAAGAGCUGGCUUUAAUUGUCAGUUUUCUUUGCGAGAAACACAU